rnacentral:lncRNA from 1 species
GCAGCACGAAGGUCAGCCAGCUGUGAUAGGUGAUGCUCCAGGCCUCCGGAGGACAGAAAAGGAAACACGACCAUGGUCAAUACAAUGCUCAGUCCCCCCCGCCCUGAUACAACCUAGAAGUUUUCCAGGUUGCUGGAACCAGGAAAUAUGAGUCAAGUAUCACCCCCACCCACCACCACCUUUUUCAUCAAAGAUUCUACCCACAGCACCAUCCUGCGCCCUCCCUGUCUCUCACCAUUUACAACAUAGACCUCAGGUGGUAUUAGGCAGCCAACAGACAACUCACCAGGCUUACAAAGACAGUUUUUGAAAGAACUGCUCUAGAACUGCCAGAUGGUAUUGCAUCAACCACCUCAAGAAAAGGGCAUGAACCAUUGGCAUCGUCUUUCAAUCAUUUCAACUACAGAUUUUGCAGCAGUUACAGAUGAAGGCAACUACAACCUUGGACAAGAUCACAGCCACAUAUUCCUCUCUUCUCUCUACCUGUCCUACUCCAAUCCUGCUUCAACUUAGAGAACUAGCUCAUGUUAAGGGGCUUCUUGAUGUGUAGCUGUUGAAUAAAGCCUUUAACUUCUAUUUUACUAUUGUU